GCCUUCGUGGUGUAAUGGUUAACACACUCGGCGCGUAUUCGAGAAGUCUGAGGUUCGAAUCCCGGCGAGGGCA
rnacentral:tRNA from 1 species